CAUCUUGUAUUCCUUGACUCCAUAUCUGAUCUGACAACUUUCCACUUACGUGACAGAGGAGGAGGCAUACGUGAAGUAGUGCUAGUGAAAUGUCAGGCCCCAGGAGAGAUUUGAAUGCCUUUCCCAUUAAAGAGCUACAGAAAGUGGCAGUUUUGCUCCAUCACAGAUUUAUUUACAGGCAUAAGAAACACUUUGUUUUCUGUUUCCCCAAUGGAUUUUUAACUGGAUGUAAUUUUACACAGGACUCAUCAGGUCUCGCUCCAUUUAAAACCAAAGAACCAUCCACUCGGAUCGGGAAGAUACAAGUAAUUAAAACACUGGAAUCUUCAUUGCCUGCCCUGUGGCAUCUAUAAACUUUUUUGGGUUUCCUACUUUUGUCAGCUGCUGCCAAGCAUCUUCUCAUAUCUUCCCCCACCUCCCCUCCCCUGCACCUAGUUGUUGUCUCUUGUGUGCUGCGUCUUUAACAUCUAUUCUUUGAGCCCAGUGGUGGGCAUAGGUGUCAGACGCUCUGUUUUAAUUCUGAGACUAGAUCAGGCGAUUUUCCUACGUUACUCUUCUCCUCUCGUAUUAUACAUUAUGUGCACCAAAUCUUGUCAUGUGUCACAGUAAAGAUAAUAGACUGCUGUGUUGAAGAACAAAUACAGAGUUUCAUUUUUCUUCUUUAGGCAAAUUUAGCGAUCAACCCAGCGGCCUUGCUGCCCACAGCAGCUUCCCAGAUCUCUGAAGUAAAGCCUGUUUUGCCAGAAUUGGCUUUUCCUUCAUCUGAACACAGAAGGAGCCACGGUCUGGAAAGUGUGCCUGUCCUUCCCGGGAGUGGGGAGGCCGGUGUGAGUUUUGAUCUUCCAGCUCAGGCAGACACCUUACACAGUGCAAACAAGAGCCGUGUCAAGAUGAGAGGGAAGCGUAGACCGCAGACCCGUGCAGCUAGGCGGCUGGCUGCACAGGAGUCCAGCGAGGCUGAGGACAUGAGUGUCCCCAGAGGACCCAUUGCACAGUGGGCUGAUGGCACCAUUUCCCCAAAUGGCCAUCGGCCACAGCUUAGAGCAGCCAGUGGAGAAGACAGCACUGAGGAGGCCCUGGCAGCUGCCGCUGCACCUUGGGAAGGUGGUCCUGUGCCUGGAGUGGACAGAAGCCCCUUUGCAAAGUCUCUGGGUCAUUCCAGAGGGGAGGCUGACCUUUUUGAUUCUGGGGACAUCUUUUCCACGGGCACUGGAUCUCAGUCCGUGGAGAGAACAAAACCCAAGGCAAAGAUAGCAGAGAAUCUUGCCAACCCACCAGUGGGUGGUAAAGCAAAGAGCCCCAUGUUUCCUGCUCUAGGCGAGGCCAGCAGUGAUGAUGAUCUCUUUCAGUCUGCUAAACCAAAACCAGCAAAGAAAACAAAUCCCUUUCCUCUCCUGGAAGAUGAGGAUGACCUCUUUACAGAUCAGAAAGUCAAGAAGAAUGAGACAAAAUCCAAUAGUCAGCAGGAUGUCAUAUCAACAACACAAGAUAUUUUUGAGGAUGAUAUAUUUGCUACAGAAGCAAUUAAACCCUCUCAGAAAACCAGAGAGAAGGAGAAAACAUUGGAAUCUAAUUUAUUUGAUGAUAACAUUGAUAUCUUUGCUGACUUAACUGUAAAACCAAAAGAAAAGUCCAAAAAGAAAGUGGAAGCCAAGUCUAUAUUUGAUGAUGAUAUGGAUGACAUCUUCUCCUCUGGUAUCCAGGCUAAGACAGCCAAACCAAAAAGCCGAUCUGCACAGGCCGCACCUGAACCAAGAUUUGAACACAAGGUGUCCAACAUCUUUGAUGAUCCCCUGAAUGCCUUUGGAGGCCAGUAGAGCACACAGGGUAUCCACAUGUUACCCUGCAGCUACAUUGUUGAGUUAGUGAUGAUGUUGUAUAUCCUCAUGGUCUUAACUGGAUUACAAAAAGCAAAUACUAGAACAGCUAGCUCAUCUUUUACCCAAUGUACUUAGUAUUUUUCUGCACUGGUUUAAUCAUGCUUAAUACUACAAAACAAAAAUAAAUAUUUCACAGUG
rnacentral:sRNA from 1 species